CACAAGGGCGAUUGUGCAACAGCGCAGAGAAAGGAUGGAGCUGCGUCCCAUUCCAUACCCCACGGUCCAUGGCACAGGAGCUCGAUUCUCUGUCCUUUCAAACUGCAUCAUUCAGUCACCUGCAGCCAGAUGAGACGCUGGACCCCAUUUCAUCUCCGUCCAGAGUGGAAGGAGUGGCUUGGUGAAAGCCGGGGGCCAACCGAGAGAGGUUAGGGCCUGGAGGUAGCCUGAGAAGACACACGACGCAGGGCCAAGUUCCACCUGUGAGCAUCAAGGAAACUGAGGGUGUGUGUGUGUGUGUGGACUGAACCCAGGGCCUUUGCCCUGAGCUACAUCCUCAGCCCUUUAUUGGAGACGGGUACUGCCUCAGCCUCCCAGAGUGCUCAGACUACAGAGAACAUCUGGCAAUUUUCAGUUUCCCAGCUGGAUGGAAGGAGCACAUACUACUGGUAGAGGCCAGGAAAGACAGAGCCCAGGGAAGCUGAUCUACGAUGCGCGAAACAGCUAUCUACCGUCAAGAACUGGCCCAUCCAAAACGUCAGUAGUGCUGAGGCUGAGAGACCCUGGAGUAGAGACACAGAUCAACAAAAUCUCGUUUUAAAAAAAGAUAGAAAAUAUGACCUCGAGGUGGGUAUGACCAGCAGAAAACAGCUGUGGCACUAACAGUGGGUAACUUGAGAGUCCGUUGAAUAGGGACCAUUAUGCAAGCAAGAACAAGAAGCAGGGACAACCAAGUCCUCCGGGGCUCGUAACAAGGAGAGGGACUGGUCACUGCAACUCGAGAUAAAGAGAGCUCUGUGGGCCGGGGAUUUAGCUCAGUGGUUCCACUGCCUGCCUCGAAAGUGCAAGGUCCCAAGCUGGAUCCCCGUACGAAAAAAAGAGAGAGAGAGAGCUGUGGCCGGAGGACCUCUCGGUAGGAGCCUGGACCUUUACUCAGGGGUCACCGCCAGCUCGCAGCAAGCUCAGGUAGCUCGAGUUCCCUCACUUCUCACCCCCUCAUUUCCGCUCAGUGUUUGCCAUAGCCAAGCCCAGUGGAGAACCUAUGAACAAAGAAGUAAUUAAUGCCAUCCGCAAAGGCCACAAGGACACAAGGCAGGCUGAAAGGAGGGUCUGAGUGAAUCUGGAGGGGCAAUGGGCCCUCUCCAGGCCAGGAUGGAAGGAAAAAGAAGACACAAGGCUCAGCUCAACAAGAAAAAAAUCAAUAGGGCCGGGGAUUUAGCUCAGUGGUUUCACCGCCUGCCUCGAAAGCGCAAGGACCCAAGUUCAAUAUCCAGUACCAAAAAAAAAAAAAAAGAAAAAGAAAAAAAUCAACACAUUCAACAUUCAUCAAGUUGUACCAGUCAGAGAAUGAAGGCAACCCACAAGCUAGGACAAAUACCUAUGUCAUGUAUUUAAAACAGUGGAUUAGUUUCUGGAAUAUAUAACAAAGUCUUAAUAAGAAAAAGAUAAAUAAUCAACUAAAGGUAAAUGACAUGAGUAAACACUUCUCAGAACAGGAAACACAAAUGGCCAAGAAACAUAGGAAGAGAUGUUCAACCUUGUUAGUAGUCAGGGAAAUGCAAAACUAAACCACAAUGAGAUAACACUUCAUUGUUACCACAAGCCUGGAAGAAUUAAAAAGUCAGACACUACAAGUCUAGCUCAGAACGUGAAGUAGAAGGAAUUCUUACAUAUUGUCAAAGUAAAAUGGUACUUUUGAAACACAGUUCCUAGUAAAAUUGAAGGCAGAUGUACCCUGUAACCCAGAAUUUCAAUCUAGCCCAACUCAGAGAAAUUCUUGCCCUUGAAUCAAGAGACAUAAAUACAUUAAUAGCAACACUGAUUUUAAAUAAACUUUUAACUUUGGAACAAUUUUACAUCUACAGAAAAAUUAUGAAGCUAAUACAGAGUUCCCAUGUACCCAAUUUUCUCUUCUUACAUUAGUAUGGUACAGCGAUACUAACAGCUAUUAUUAACUAAAGUCUACACCUUAUUGAGAUUUCCUUAGUUUGCCUAACGUCUUUUAGGCAGCCUGCUUUGAUGAUGCUGGGGAUUCAACCCAGGGCCUCACACAUGCUAAGCAUAUGCUCUGCCACUAGCUAAACCUCCAACCUCUGAAGCAUUGUUUUAAAUAACUAAAACUUGGUGGGUCGGACCCACAAAGCGCCCAUCAGCAGUAAAACAGAAAAACAAAUUGAGAUUUACUCAUUCCCAGGAUUACAGUAAACGAAUGAGCCACUGUAUGUCAACAUGGAUGAAUCUGAAGGAAUUCUGUUUUACAAAUGAGGAGAGGACCAAGAGUUGGGGGGGGGGGGAAGGGGCAUGAAAAGAGAAUUCCACUGUGCUAUGUCUCUGUACCAACUCCCCACAAGGAAUGGAAUCAUUAUUACUACAAAUGUAUACUAAUAAAAAAUAAAAACUAGACGAAAAAAAGUAAAAGGAAGUCUUGAAUAAAUACAUCCGGCUGGGAGUGGUGCACGCCUGUAAUCCCAGCCCACGGGAGGCUGAGGCAGGAGCAUCCCCAUGAGCUUGAGGCCAGCCUAGGCUACAUACUGAGUUUAAGUCCAGCCUGAACUACAUAGCAAGACCUUGUCUGAAAAAUUAAAAAAUAAAUAAAUAAAUAAACCUAUCCAACACGGUUCCAUUUAUAAAAUGGUCAAAAAUAGGCAAAAGGAAAUCAUAUAAUUUCAGGACAUUUGUAUAUGAGAUAAAAUAUCAAGCCUAGCAAAGAAAUGAUUAAGCCAAAAUACCAG
ensembl:lncRNA